UUUUGUUGCUGAUACUGGUUUUUUACUUUCUGUUUCCAUUCUAUAACUUUUUAGGGUUGAUUUGGGAAGCAGAGCACAGCAGCCCAAAUUUGCUUGUAAUGUCGGUGGCUACAGAGGAAAGGCCAAGAAUGCACAUCUUAAUAAAGGGCCAUCUACAAGCCAGGAAUAAGGCCAUCACCAGAAGCCAAACCUGCCAGUCCAUCAUCUGGGACAUCCAGAGUUCAAAACUGUGAAAAAAAAUAAAUUUCUGUUGUUUCGCCUUCUCA